UACAGAGGGGGCAAGCGUUGUUCGGAAUUACUGGGCGUAAAGCGUGUGUAGGCGGCUUUGCAAGUCGGAUGUGAAAGCCCCGGGCUCAACCCGGGAAGUGCACUCGAUACUGCAGAGCUUGAGUGUCGGAGAGGUUGGUGGAAUUCUCGGUGUAGAGGUGAAAUUCGUAGAUAUCGAGAGGAACACCGGCGGCGAAGGCGGCCAACUGGACGAACACUGACGCUGAGACACGAAAGCGUGGGGAGCGAACAGG
rnacentral:rRNA from 1 species